AAUCUUGCGAUUUUCUUUCUUGCUAUUCUAGGCUCUUUUUAAUUGCCUCUGACUAAAGUGGCACCUUAUGGGCUGCUUCAGAAAUUCUCUUAAGGGUUUAAAAAUGAAGCCGAUUCAUAUUCAGAGUCCUCCUGCUAAAAUCUGUUAAGCCAAAAUAAAAAUGACUGCUAUUUAAAUUUUUUCCCCUCUUUUGUUGUUGCUACAAACAUUAUCUCACAAGAGUUGCAAGUUCCCACUUAAAUGAACAAUUAAAAACUUCUUUGGGCAAAUGGAGAGAUACAAACCAUCACCGGCUGCCAGCAUGAGUCCUAAAGAUUGAAGGCUGUAUACCUCAGUCGAAUUAAGGGGAGGUGCUCUCUUGAGCUUGGAGGCUUUUUUUUUUUUAAGUGAAUUGUUCCAGUUGGCCUUAAUCCCUAAGCAAUAUGGCUCCUUUAAAACCAUCUUUAUUCAUUCACACCAUUUGACACUUUAAGAAACCCCCCUAGCUACUGUUCAUCUAGUUCUAAAUAUAUCUGUUAAGAGUCAAAUGCAUUUAAGAGAAUUUGCAAUCUGUGAUUAUCCCAAGUACUAUUCAUUGUCAAUAUUUUUGUGUGCCAUAGCCAAUCUUGUUAUUACAAUGCAUAUAGCCUCUUACCGGCAGCAAAGCCCAAAUACAUCGCAACAAUUGGGAUAACUUGAAGGACGGCUUUUCUCCAACUCUGCUGCCAUUCUGGCACAGCUUGCGUGGUUAUGAACACCAGAAAGAAUUCCUUAAUAAGCUCUUGCUCUUCUUUCAGACCCUUUUGGGCAAUCUCACCCUCAUGUUCUAAGUAGAGAGCAGUUACCAGGACAACAGAGAAUUUGAGGAAGAUUUAAUUGUGAUCUGAUGUCUUACCAGAAUAAAGAGCGAGUGCCUUGAAUUUAUAUUCUAGGUUCCUAAGCAAAUGCCGAUGUGCAUAUUUAUUACUUUUGCCCUGCCUCCUUAUAAAAACAGAUUUUAAUGUGGCUUACACUUUUUUUCUCCUUAAUAGGGGAGAGGAGAAGAGCAAUGGUAAAUACUAAAACGAUAGGAAAAAUAAGCAGGGUUGGGAUCCAGAAAACAUGCCAUAAACACCACUUAUUAUCUUAGUUUUCUGGAGCUGGCUUAAUUUGACUCAGUUUCCUCGCCGCCAGUGCAAGGACGUGAACAUCACAGGUGAGGCACAGCGUCCACGAGGAGGGGCACAGUUACUCCUGUUUCCGAAGCUGGCCACCUUCCUGCAAGUGUCCAGCACAUCAGCCGGUAAAUGCCUCCAACCUGGAGUUUGCAGCCGCUCUGGGGCACACGCCUGGGGAUGAACGGAGCAUCCACCUAAGUGCUUCCAUGGGACUUGAUGCAUCCCUUCUGCAGGUGAAAUGCUCUGAAGUCUCCCAUCUUGAAAAACUCCAUGAGCCCACAGUUCUCUCCGGCCUUUGCAUCAUGUCUCUGCUCCUCCUCUCAGCCAGGCUUCUCAAGAGUUCUCGCCGGUGGCUGUCUUAUCUGCUAACUUCCCAUCCACUCUCCUGCCUCUCCUGAAAAUGCGCACAUCAAAGUCACCAGUAACUUCCACACUGACAAACUGAAAUGCUUUCCUGCUCCCUCUUAAACCAUCUGCAGUGCCUGACACAGUAGACUACUCCCUUCCUGAUUAAAUACUUUUUUUCCUUCCCUUCUAAGUCAUCUGAGGAUCAACUGCAGAUAACAGAAUCCACCUGACUAGCUUAGGGACAAGGAGAUUUAAGAGAGUCCAGGGCACUGGAAGGGUUAGAGAAGCAGCUGGAGGCUGUCACCCCCCACAUCCACUCCACAGAAACACCUUCUAGAACAACACGGAACAACUGGCCUGCCAUAGGAGCUGCUGCCUCUGCCAGAGCAGGACGCUGCAUGGUCCACACUGCCCCUGUGGCACGCCAUGCCAACCGAAGGAAUGUUCUGUGCCUGACUCUCAAUACUCACAAAACUGGGGACUCCUAGGACCCUCUGCUACAACUGCUGCCAAAAAACCAAAUGCCUCUAUGGCCACACGUGCCAGGAGGUACACAGCUGCAUGCGAUCUCCCACCUUCCAAAUUCUGAGUUAGUGCAACUGCUCAGAGAAAGCUAGGUGCCAUGCAGACCUGGAGCUGGAGGGGAGCGUAGGCAAGACAUUUAGCUCCCCAGGUUCUAGCGGGCAACAAGGCCCACUGGGAGGAGGUGAGGACGGAACCGAGUGAGCCACAGCUGCCUGAUAAUACCUCCUUCUGAUUUUCACUCUUGCUCAGAGUCCGGUUCUUCUCAGUCCCUCUGCUCAACUGACUUCUAAAUAUCGAAAUAUUGCUAUCCUCUCCCAAGUGAUCUCUCCCAGUCCGGAGGCUCUAAUUUCCAUUUUGAUGAGUACCAUUUUUAUGCCUCUGGCCUUGUUUCUCUCUUGAACUCUACUUUGUAUGUUCCACUGCUCACCUGUCUAGGCAGCACGUCAAAACAGCAGGCCCCAAACAGAACCUGCGAUUUCACCACAAACCUUCCCCAUCUCUGUAGAUGGCGGUGCCACCCACCGGCCCCACCCAAACACCCAGGAGAUGUCCCAAUCCCUUGUUUUCUGUUCCUCUCCAUGGCUGAGCCUGAGCAUGUGCUGUCAUUGUAUCCUGCACCAGAGAGACUUCCCCUGGCCUCCCUACCCAAGGAAGCUUCCUUCCCCAUCCAUCUUCCUCUGUCACACCAAUCUAAUCUGCUCCUUAAAGUCUUGUUAAUUGGUGUUUACUAACUCCUUGACUGUCUCCCCCUCUAGAAUAUAAACUUCAUGGAGGCAGGAACAUUACCUGUCUUGGUCCCCAUUGUCUCUCUAAUGCUUAGAGCAGGGCCUGGCCCACAGCUGGUACCCAAUAAGUAUUUGUCAAAUGAGCAAAUGAAAGGAUAGAUGAAUGACUACACGAUCACUAAGGCCCCUUCCAACCGGAAAUUCUAAUCCUGUUCAGAAUCAUUCAAAUCCUACCUGUUAAUCAGUGUGCAGGCCAAGGCUCUGUCACUCUCAGGAAGACAAGGACAAGAUGCCCUUUCCUUCCUCUGUAUCAAUCAGUUGACACAUGUCAUAUAUUUGGGUGCCAGAAUUCUAACCACUUUGCCCAUAUCUUAUCUUUUCAGCUAGACCCCCUAGUCCUUGAGGGCACGGCAGCCCCACAAUGUAAUAGCCACGAGUAUGUACAGAGCUGCUGCGGAGCAAGGAGCUAGACGAACAAUCUCCCUGAGUCUCACGACAAUUUCUUUAGUUCGGGCUAGUUGCUAUUGGGUCCCACCGGGCAGAGGAGGCUCAGGAGGUUCAAUGAUUUACUCAGGGUUACACAGUAAAUGGCAGAUCUAAGAUUCAAAUGCUGAAACCCAUCUCCUUCGCUUACCUUGGAUCUUCUGGGUACGCCAGGUUGGGUACACAGCAGAACAUCAAUGAAGACUUGUGAUAUGGAAGAGUGAUAGGAUGGGGUGGCAGGAAGGACACCGGUGCACAGGGCAGGAGACCCAGUUCAGCCCUGGGCAGCUCUGGCAGGCCCUGCCGCACCCUGGGCCUCAGAGCCCCUUGGCCAAGGGCUCUUCAGUGGAUGAUUUCUGAAGACUGCAGAUUCACGCUGUGGGACCUCAAGCAGCAGCUCCUUGGAGAAAAGAACCUCUUCUUUCUCAGCUGUAUCUCCAGUGCUCGCAACAGUACAGCAAGAAAAAAUGGUGAGGGUCCUGCCAAAAGUCUGAGAGGAGAAAGCGGCUGCUCAGAGUUUCCCGCGGGCAGCAGACAUCCGCCGGAGGCAUGCAACCCCGGGCUCCUAGGACUCCGGCCUGUCUCAGAUUAAGUGGAGCCCUCGGCUGGCCAGAGGGCAGGACUGCUUCCUUCCUGUUUCCCCUCUGUCCCAGGGCACAAAUAGCAGCACAAAGAGGACAUAAAUGGCAUUUUUGGGGUCAUGAAGAAUUAACAGAUGGCUGAAAGCAGAGACUGGAUGGAAGAAAAACCAUAUGCCCCAGUGGGAAAGUGGAUUGUUUAUGGAUUGUCCCAAGGCACACGUCACAUAGGGCCCCUUAGCUCUGCGCUGAGCGUCUCUAGGAACUUGGGAGGAUACUUCCGGGCAGAGAGAAGCUGGUCACUUGUGUUAGAUAAAUACGGUUACUCUGAAGGUCUUUGUGAGAAGACAGUUAUAACUAGGCUUAGUUUCUUUGAAUUGCGGAGGCACCAAAGAUGUAAGAAUCAGUGGGAUUUGGUCUUGGUAAGCCUGUGGGUCCUGGAGAUGAAAAAGUGCUUGGUGGGCAUCCAAUCUACUUGCUUAUUUUACCCUGGGAACCUGGAUGGGGUGAGGGACUUUGCCUAGGUUGAAGAACCAGGGUUAGGGCCUGGCUCUUGACUCCUAGUCAAGAGCGCUCCGUUCCACACUGAUGGGAUAGGAAAAUGACCUCUUGGACUGGCGAGCAGAGUGCAGAGCCUGACUAGAGCUGGUAGAUUCUGGGAGAGGCUGAGGAGAAGGAUACCCCUUCCCAAGGGGAACUUAGGGUGUGGGGGCUGCCCAAGACAGGUCAGAUGGGAUGACUGCAUUUUUACUUUUUGAUAAAACUUUAAUUUUUCUGGCUUUUCAAUUCCUGAAUGUGAAUAAAGUGAAGGUUCCUGUGGCCAGGAUUCUCACCUGGCCCUGGUCGGCUAGCUCACUACACACGUGUGGCAGUACAUGGCUGUUGACUCAAUAUAAAGACCUUCGCCCAAUGCUCUGGGCUGCUGCAUGGCUGCCAGAGAACAGAGAUGGGAGUGGUGGCAGCGCCAAGGACAGAGACUGA